CAUAGAAUUCCUCCCCAAGGAGACUAAAAUAACAACAAAUGGUUGCUGCUCUAACUCUGAACACAAAGAAAAAAACUCAAACCAAAUCUAACCAAAACAGCAUGACGUGCAUUUCAUAUUUUCCUUUCCCCCUUUAGUUCUCUUUAUCUUCAAUUCAAAUGGUUUUAAGGUAAAGGAUGCGCAAUCGAACAACUGGUUAUUCCUUCAACUAGAUAGGCUUGUUCUGUGACUCAGCAUUCCUGAAAUUCCUGAAAAGGAAAAGGAAAGGAAAGGAAAAGGAAAAGGAAGGGAAAAGGAAAAGGAAAAGGAAAAAGGAAAAGGGAAAAGGAAAAGAGAAAGGGAAAAGGAAAAGUAAAGGAGAAGCGGAAAAGGAAAAAAAAAGAAAAGAAAAGAAGAAAAAAAGGAAGAAAAGGAAAGGAAAGAAAGGAAAGCAAAGGUAAGUAGGAAAGGAAAGGAAAGUAUAAAUGAAAGGAGAGGCUAAGUUUAAAAAUAGGAAUUGAAAUGAAAGUGUAAAGGAAAGGAAAGUAUACAGAAAAGGAAAGUAUGAAAAGAAAGGAAAGGAAACGGAAAAGACAAGAAGAAAAAGAAAAGAAAAAAGAAAAGAAAAGAAAAAAGAAAAGAAAAAAAGAAAAGAAAAAGAAAAGAAUAGAAUAGAAAAGAAGAAAAGACAAGAAAAGAGAAGAAAAGAAAGAAAAGAAAAGAAAAGAGAAAAGAGAGAGAAGAAGAGGAAAAAAGAAAGGAAAAGAAAAAAGAAAAAGAAAAAAAGAAAAGAAGAAAAGAAGAAAACGUGUGUCUACAGCCAAAUGGAAAUUGAAGCAUUAACUCUACACAGGAAGUAAAUGCAGAAAAUGAUUCGUUUACUCCCUUUCCAUUUGCAC
rnacentral:lncRNA from 1 species